rnacentral:lncRNA from 1 species
GGAGAGGGUGAAUUUUGCUCUCAAAAAUAAUUUUUAAAAAAAGGUAAUGGGGCUGAAUUUCUGGAGAGAGAUCAGGAAGAGCCAUGGUUUGAGACAAAAAAGAACCAGACAGAAGACAAAACGCAGGGAGGAAGAAUCACUCCCGAGAAUCCAUGAGUCUCCUGCUCUCCUUCAACACGGUCCACCCCCCUCUGCUCUCCCCUCAAAACGAAUAUUAACGAGGCACCCACCCAGUGCCUACUCAUGAAAAACACAGUGCAAGACCAAAAAAAGGUAUUAUCUG